UUUAUUUUUAAUAUUAAAUCUCUUCACUCUCUAUUUGACAUUUUUAUCAUAAAACCUACUAAGUCAAAACUAAUGCACAUUUUUUUUCUAAUGCAUUUUUUUUCUAUUCUACUGUAUAAAAUAAGUUUAGAUAAUAAAGGUUUUAUUAUAUUAUAAUGAGAAAUAACAAAGAUCUCAAAAAGUCUAAUAUAAUAUCCAUAAUAGAAUACCACUCACUAUUCUAACCUCAAGAUAUUAAUAAAGUGUCACUUAAAUACUUCUCCUUUCUCUCAAAUCAAACAUUACCUUAGUUGUAACUAAUUAUUAUUUUUAUAUAAUAAAUAAUAAUUAAUAAUUUAAAAAGUAAUAUAAUCAAUAGAAUUAAUUACUUGACUUUACUACUGUAUAUUAUUUAUGGAAGGAUGAAUAAAAUCAGGUCGUUGAUAAAUAAAGUAUAUAUAUGAGACAAACAAAUAUAGAUAUCCAAUAAUUAAUCUAAUUAUUUCUAUGAAUACCCGAUUAUUAUUCGGAUCACAAAUAAACUUAAUGUUAUAUUUUUAUGCAUCUUUAUAUUUUUAUGCGUAUACUUUUCUACUAUCCCAAUUUUAAUAUUUACAAAAAUUUAAAAGAGAAAGCGGAGUACAAGUUAGGUGUUUUCAUGGAAACCCUAAAAUUGGAGAGUAUAUUUGGGUUGUGAGUUAAGUUGAAGCUUUUUAAACGCUAGCGGUAUUUUUGGUUAGGUUCUUAAAAUUAAAUUUGGGUGAGGUUCAGUUUAAUGUUUGAAUUGAAAGGUAAUAUUGCUUAGGUUGUCUGUGUUUGGUUGGAUCUAUCACAGUCGGCAUAUUGAGUAUCAAUUGGUAAAUUUUUUUUAAUAUUAAAUCUCUCACUCUCUAUUUGACAUUUUAUCAUAAAACCUACUAAGUCAAAACUAAUGCCAUUUUUUUUUCUAAUGCACUUUUUUUCUAUUCUACUGUAUAAAAUAAGUUUAGAUAAUAAUUUUAAUUAUAUUAUAUGAGAAAUAACAAAGAUCUCAAAAGGUCUAAUAUAAUAUCCAUAAUAGAAUACCACUCACUAUUCUAACAUCAAGAUAUUAAUAAAGUGCCACUUAAAUACUUCUCCUUCCUCAAAUUAAACAUUACCUUAGUUGUAACUAAUUAUUAGUUUUAUAUAAUAAAUAAUAAUUAAUAACUUAAAAAGUAAUAUAAUCAAUAGAAUUAAUUACUUGACUUUACAUUGUAUAUUAUUUAUGGAAGGAUGAUAAAUAUAGGCCGUUGAUAAAAUAAAGUAUAUAUAUGAGACAAACAAAUUAAGAUAUCCAAUAAUUAAUCUAAUUAUUCUCUGAAUACCCGUUUAUUAUUCGGAUCAAAAAUAAACUAAUGUUAUAUUAUGCAAUUUUAUAUUUUUAUGCGUAUACUUUUCUACUAUCCCAAUUUUAAUAUUUACAAAAAUUUAAAAGAGAAAGUGGAGUACAAGUUAGGUGUUUCCAUGGAAACGUUAAAAUUGGAGAGUAAUAUUGGGUUGUGAGUUAAGUUGAAGCUUUUAAACGCUAGCGGUAUUUUUGUUAGGUUCUUAAAAUUUAAUAUUGGUGAGGUUUCAGUUUAAUGUUUUGAAUUGAAAGGUAAUAUUGCUUAGGUUGUCUGUGUUUGGUUGGAUCUAUCCACAGUCGGCAUAUUGAGUAUCAAUUGGUAAAUUUAUUUUUAAUAUUAAAUCUCUCCACUCUCUAUUUGACAUUUUUAUCAUAAACCUACUAAGUCAAACUAAUGCACAUUUUUUUCUAAUGCACUUUUUUUUCUAUUCUACUGUAUAAAAUAAGUUUAGAUAAUAAAUGGUUUUAUUAUAUUAUAAUGAGAAAUAACAAAGAUCUCAAAAGGUCUAAUAUGAUAUCCAUAAUAGAAUACCACUCACUAUUCUAACAUCAAGAUAUUAAUAAAGUGCCACUUAAAUACUUCUCCUUCCUCUCAAUUAAACAUUACCUUAGUUGUAACUAUUUAUUUUAUAUAAUAAAUAAUAAUUAAUAACUUAAAGUAAUAUAUAAUCAAUAGAAUUAAUUACUUGACUUUACAAUUGUAUAUUAUUUAUGGAAGGAUGUAAAAUCAGGCCGUUGAUAAAAUAAAGUAUAUAUAUGAGACAAACAAUUUUAGAUAUCCAAUAUUUAAUCUAAUUAUUUCUAUGAAUACCCGUUAUUUAUUCGGAUCAAAAUAAACCUAAUGUUAUAUUUUUAUGCAAUUUUAUAUGUUAUACGUAUACUUUUCUACUAUCCCAAUUUUAAUAUUUAAAUUUAAAAGAGAAAGUGGAUACAAGUUGAGUGUUUUCAUGGAAACAUUAAAAUUGGAGAGUAUAUUUGGGUUGUGAGUUAGUUGAAGCUUUUUAAACGCUAGCGGUAUUUUUGUUAGGUUCUAAAAUUUAAUAUUGGUGAGGUUCAGUUUAAUGUUUUGAAUUGAAAGGUAAUAUUGCUUAGGUUGUCUGUGUUUGGUUGGAUCUAUCCACAGUCGGCAUAUUGAGUAUCAAUUGGUAAAUUUAUUUUUAAUAUUAAAUCUCUCCACUCUCUAUUUGACAUUUUUAUCAUAAAACCUACUAAGUCAAACUAAUGCACAUUUUUUUUCUAAUGCACUUUUUUUUUCUAUCUACUGUAUAAAAUAAGUUUAGAUAAUAAAUGUUUUAUUAUAUUAUAAUGAGAAAUAACAAAGAUUCUCAAAAGGUCUAAUAUAAUAUCCAUAAUAGAAUACCACUCACUAUUCUAACAUCAAGAUAUUAAUAAAGUGCCACUUAAAUACUUCUCCUUCCUCUCAAUAAAACAUUACCUUAGUUGUAACUAAUUAUUAUUUUAUAUAAUAAAUAAUAAUUAAUAACUUAAAAAGUAAUAUAAUCAAUAGAUUAAUUACUUGACUUUACUAUUGUAUAUUAUUUAUGGAAGGAUGAUAAAAUCAGGCCGUUGAUAAAUAAAGUAUAUAUAUGAGACAAACAAAUUUAGAUAUCCAAUAAUUAAUCUAAUUAUUUCUCUGAAUACCGUUUUUAUUCGGAUCAAAAUAAACCAUAUGUUAUAUUUUUAUGCAAUUUUAUAUUUUAUGCGUAUACUUUUCUACUAUCCAUUUUAAUAUUUACAAAAAUUUAAAAGAGAAAGUGGAUACAAGUUAGGUGUUUUCAUGGAAACGUUAAAAUUGGAGAGUAUAUUUGGGUUGUGAGUUAAGUUGAAGCUUUUAAACGCUAGCGGUAUUUUUGUUAGGUUCUUAAAAUUUAAUAUUGGUGAGGUUUCAGUUUAAUGUUUUGAAUUGAAAGGUAAUAUUGCUUAGGUUGUCUGUGUUUGGUUGGAUCUAUCCACAGUCGGCAUAUUGAGUAUCAAUUGGUAAAUUUAUUUUUAAUAUUAAAUCUCUCCACUCUCUAUUUGACAUUUUUAUCAUAAAACCUACUAAGUCAAAACUAAUGCACAUUUUUUUCUAAUGCACUUUUUUUUUAUUCUACUGUAUAAAUAAGUUUAGAUAAUAAAUGUUUUUUAUAUUAUAAUGAGAAAUAACAAAGAUCUCAAAAGGUCUAAUAUGAUAUCCAUAAUAGAAUACCACUCACUAUUCUAACAUCAAGAUAUUAAUAAAGUGCCACUUAAAUACUUUCCUUCCUCUCAAUUAAACAUUACCUUAGUUGUAACUAAUUAUUAGUUUUUAUAUAAAAAAUAAUAAUUAAUAACUUAAAAAGUAAUAUAAUCAAUAGAAUUAAUUACUUGACUUUACUUGUAUAUUAUUUAUGAAGGAUGAUAAAAUUAAGGCCGUUGAUAAAAUAAAGUAUAUAUAUGAGACAAACAAAUUUAGAUAUCCAAUAAUUAAUCAAAUUAUUUUCUGAAUACCCGUUUAUUAUUCGGAUCAAAAAUAAACAUAAUGUUAUAUUUUUGCAAUUUUUAUUUUUAUGCGUAUACUUUUCUACUAUCCCAUUUAAUAUUUACAAAAAUUUAAAGGAGAAAGUGGAAUACAAGUUAGGUGUUUUCAUGGAAACUUAAAAUGGAGAGUUAUUUGGGUUGUGAGUUAAGUUGAAGCUUUUAAACGCUAGCGGUAUUUUUGUUAGGUUCUUAAAAUUUUAAUAUUGGUGAGGUUUCAGUAAUUUUUUUGAAUGAAAGGUAAUAUUGCUUAGGUUGUCUGUGUUUGGUUGGAUCUAUCCACAGUCGGCAUAUUGAGUAUCAAUUGGUAAAUUUAUUUUUAAUAUUAAAUCUCUCCACUCUCUAUUUGACAUUUUAUCAUUAAACCUACUAAGUCAAAACUAAUGCACAUUUUUUUCUAAUGCACUUUUUUUUUUCUAUUCUACUGUAUAAAAUAAGUUUAGAUAAUAAAUGUUUUAUUAUAUUAUAAUGAGAAAUAACAAAGAUCUCAAAAGGUCUAAUAUGAUAUCCAUAAUAGAAUACCACUCACUAUUCUAACAUCAAGAUAUUAAUAAAGUGCCACUUAAAUACUUCUCCUUCCUCUCAAAUAAACAUUACCUUAGUUGUAACUAAUUAUUAUUUUAUAUAAUAAAUAAUAAUUAAUAAUUAAAAAAGUAAUAUAAUCAAUAGAAUUAAUUACUUGACUUUACAUUGUAUAUUAUUUAUGGAAGGAUGACUAAAAUCAGGCCGUUGAUAAAAUAAAGUAUAUAUAUGAGACAAACAUUUAGAUACCCAAUAUUUAAUCUAAUUAUUUCUAUGAAUACCGUUUUUUAUUCGGAUCAGAAAUAAACCUAAUGUUAUAUUUUUAUGAAUUUUAUAUGUUUAUACGUAUACUUUUCUCCUAUCCCAUUUAAUAUUUACAAAAAUUUAAAAGAGAAAGUGGACUACAAGUUAGAUGUUUUCAUGGAAACAUUAAAAUUGGGAUUAUAUUUGGGUUGUGAGUUACAGUUGAAGCUUUUAAACGCUAGCGGUAUUUUUGUUAGGUUCUUAAAAUUUAAAUAUUGGUGAGGUUCAGUUUAAUGUUUGAAUUGAAAGGUAAUAUUGCUUAGGUUGUCUGUGUUUGGUUGGAUCUAUCUCACAGUCGGCAUAUUGAGUAUCAAUUGGUAAAUUUAUUUUUAAUAUUAAAUCUCUCCACUCUCUAUUUGACAUUUUUAUCAUAAAACCUACUAAGUCAAAACUAAUGCACAUUUUUUUCUAAUGCACUUUUUUUUCUAUCUACUGUAUAAAAUAAGUUUAGAUAAUAAAUGUUUUAUUAUAUUAUAAUGAGAAAUAACAAAGAUCUCAAAAGGUCUAAUAUAUAUCCAUAAUAGAAUACCACUCACUAUUCUAACAUCAAGAUAUUAAUAAAGUGCCACUUAAAUACUUCUCCUUCCUCUCAAUUAAACAUUACCUUAGUUGUAACUAAUUAUUGUUUUAUAUAAUAAAUAAUAAUUAAUAAUUAAAAAGUAAUAUAAUCAAUAGAAUUAAUUACUUGACUUUACAAUUGUAUAUUAUUUAUGGAAGGAUGAUAAAUAUCAGGCCGUUGAUAAAUAAAGUAUAUAUAUGAGACAAACAAAUUUAGAUAUCCAAUAAUUAAUCUAAUUAUUCUCUGAAUACCCGUUUAUUAUUCGGAUCAAAAAUAAACAUAAUGUUAUAUUUUUAUGCAAUUUUAUAUUUUUAUGCGUAUACUUUUCUACUAUCCCAUUUUUAAUAUUUACAAAAAUUUAAAAGAGAAAGUGGAAUACAAGUUAGGUGUUUCCAUGGAAACGUUAAAAUUGGAGAGUAUAUUUGGGUUGUGAGUUAAGUUGAAGCUUUUAAACGCUAGCGUAUUUUUGUUAGGUUCUUAAAAUUUAAUAUUGGUGAGGUUUCAGUUUAAUUUUUUUGAAUUGAAAGGUAAAUUGCUUAGGUUGUCUGUGUUUGGUUGGAUCUAUCCACAGUCGGCAUAUUGAGUAUCAAUUGGUAAAUUUAUUUUAAUAUUAAAUCUCUCCACUCUCUAUUUGACAUUUAAUCAUUAAACCUACUAAGUCAAACUAAUGCACAUUUUUUUCUAAUGCACUUUUUUUCUAUUCUACUGUAUAAAAUAAGUUAUAGUAUAAUAAAUUUUAUUAUAUUAUAAUGAGAAAUAACAAAGAUCUCAAAAGGUCUAAUAUAAUCCAUAAUAGAAUACCACUCACUAUUCUAACAUCAAGAUAUUAAUAAAGUGCCACUUAAAUACUUCUCCUUCCUCUCAAUUAAACAUUACCUUAGUUGUAACUAAUUAUUAGUUUUAUAUAAUAAAUAAUAAUAUAAUUAAAAAGUAAUAUAAUCAAUAGAAUUAAUUACUUGACUUUACAAUUGUAUAUUAUUUAUGGAAGGAUGAUAAAAUUAGGCCGUUGAUAAAAUAAAGUAUAUAUAUGAGACAAACAAUUUAGAUACCCAAUAUUUAAUCUAAUUAUUCUAUGAAUACCCGUUAUUUAUUCGGAUCAAAAAAUAAACCUAAUGUUAUAUUUUUAUGCAAUUUUAUAUUUAUACGUAUACUUUUCUACUAUCCCAAUUUUAAUAUUUACAAAAAUUUAAGGAAAGUGGACUACAAGUUAGAUGUUUUCAUGGAAACAUUAAAAUUGGAGAGUAUUUUUGGGUUGUGAGUUAGUUGAAGCUUUAAAACGCUAGCGGUAUUUUGUUAGGUUCUUAAAAUUAAAUAUUGGUGAGGUUCAGUUUAAUGUUUUGAAUUGAAAGGUAAUAUUGCUUAGGUUGUCUGUGUUUGGUUGGAUCUAUCCAAGUCGGCAUAUUGAGUAUCAAUCUUGGUAAAUUUAUUUUUAAUAUUAAAUCUCUCCACUCUCUAUUUGACAUUUUUAUCAUAAAACCUACUAAGUCAAAACUAAUGCACAUUUUUUUUCUAAUGCACUUUUUUUUCUAUUCUACUGUAUAAAAUAAGUUUAGAAUAUAAAGGUUUUAUUAUAUUAUAAUGAGAAUAACAAGAUCUCAAAAGGUCUAAUAUAUAUCCAUAAUAGAAUACCACUCACUAUUCUAACAUCAAGAUAUAUAAAAGUGCCACUUAAAUACUUCUCCUUCCUCUCAAAUAAACAUUACCUUAGUUGUAACUAAUUAUUAGUUUUAUAUAAUAAAUAAUAAUUAAUAAUUAAAAAGUAAUAUAAUCAAUAGAAUUAAUUACUUGACUUUACUAUUGUAUAUUAUUUAUGGAAGGAUGAUAAAAUUCAGGCCGUUGAUAAAAUAAAGUAUAUAUAUGAGACAAAACAAUUUAGAUCCCAAUAUUUAAUCUAAUUAUUUCUAUGAAUACCCGUUAUUUAUUCGGAUCAAAAUAAACCUAAUGUUAUAUUUUUAUGCAAUUUUAUAUGUUAUACGUAUACUUUUCUACUAUCCCAAUUUUAAUAUUUACAAAAAUUUAAAAGAGAAAAGUGGAUACAAGUUAGUGUUUUCAUGGAAACAUUAAAAUUGGAGAGUAUAUUUGGGUGGUGAGUAAGUUGAACUUUUAACAUUAACGGUAUUUUGUUAGGUUCUUAAAUUUAAUAUUGGUGAGGUUUCAGUUUAAUGUUUUGAAUUGAAAUAAUAUUGCUAGGUUUUCUGUGUUUGGGUUGGAUCUAUUCACAGUCGGCAUAUUGAGUAUCAAUUGGUAAAUUUAUUUUUAAUAUUAAAUCUCUCCACUCUCUAUUUGACAUUUUUAUCAUAAACCUACUAAGUCAAAACUAAUGCACUUUUUUUUCUAAUGCACUUUUUUUUUCUAUUCUAUCUGUAAUAAAUAAGUUUAGAUAAUAAAGGUUUUUUUAUUAAUAAUGAGAAAUAAAGAUCUCAAAAGGUCUAAUAUAAUAUCCAUAAUAGAAUACCACUCACUAUUCUAACAUCAAGAUAUUAAUAAAGUCCACUUAAAUACUUCCCUUCCUCUCAAAUCAAACAUUACCUUAGUUGUAACUAAUUAUUAUUUUUAUAUAAUAAUAUAAUAAUAAUUAAAAAGUAAUAUAAUCAAUAAAUUAAUUACUUGACUUUACUAUUGUAUUUAUUUAUGGAAGGAUGAGUAAAAUCAGGCCGUUGAUAAAAUAAAGUAUAUAUAUGAGACAAACAAAAUUAGAUAUCCAAUAAUUAAUCUAAUUAUUUCUCUGAAUACCCGUUAUUAUCGGAUCAAAAAUAACAUAAUGUUAAUUUUAUGCAAUUUUAUAUUUUUAUGCGUAUACUUUUCUACUAUCCCAAUUUUAAUAUUUACAAAAAUUUAAAAGAGAAAGGUGGAAACAAGUUGGUGUUUUCAUGGAAACUAAAAUUGGAGAGUAUUUUUGGGUUGUGAGUUAGUUGAAGCUUUUAAACGCUAGCGGUAUUUUUGUUAGGUUCUUAAAAUUUAAUAUUGAUGAGGUUUCAGUUUAAUGUUUUGAAUUGAAAGGUAAUAUUGCUUAGGUUGUCUGUGUUUGGUUGGAUCUAUUCACAGUCGGUAUAUUGAGUAUCAAUUGGUAAAUUUAUUUUUAAUAUUAAAUCUCUUCACUCUCUAUUUGAUAUUUUUAUCAUAAAACCUACUAAGUCAAAACUAGUGCACAUUUUUUUUUCUAAUGCACUUUUUUUUUCUAUUCUACUGUAUAAAAUAAGUAUAGAUAAUAAAGGUUUUAUUAUAUUAUAAUGAGAAAUAACAAAUAUCCCAAAAGGUCUAAUAUAAUAUCCAUAAUAGAAUACCACUCAAUAUUCUAACAUCAAGAUAUUAAUAAAGUCCCACUUAAAUACUUCUCCUUCCUCUCAAAUCAAACAUUACCUUAGUUGUAACUAAUUAUUAUUUUUAUAUAAUAAAUAAUAAUUAAUAAUUUAAAAAGUAAUAUAAUCAAUAGAAU
rnacentral:lncRNA from 1 species